AAACAGAUGAUGAACGAGGUGCUAAAGCUGCGAUCCCUGGAGACUAGCCCCCAGGAAACCACUGUGGGUGUGUGCAGUACCAGAGGGUCAGGAGUAAGUAAGUGUUCCGCGUAGAAACAUCCCAGCCAUGCAUCAAGGGAGACAGAAUCUUCCAGAACUCAAACCUCAAGAGCACUGAGGACCUCAGCGGUAACAACAAACCUCCUCCUUCUCAUCACGGACGAACUGAGCCCUUGCAUUCGUCUCCCUGGAUCGCUUACAACAAUCACAGAGACAGGCUAUCGACUCCAUGCUACAGAUAGGGCCUGCAGUCAGACCCUUCUCACACGAGCUCCCAGUGUCAGAGCUUCAAGUGGAAGGGAUGGCAAGGCCAUUUUCAUCUGAGGCUGUACCUCUCUGAAGGACCUACGGAGGAGGAACCGCAUCAACUCUGGAGUGCAGACUCUUGGGGGUAAGUACCGGCUUCACUAUUUGCAGUGUGGGGACAUAAUUACCACGUGCCGCCAAAAGCUGCCCUUUCAGUCUCCUUUCCCUGGGGCAAGUGACUCAAACCUCUAAGAGCUCUGCUGUUCCUAACACGGGCUCAUCAACGUGCCACCUCACUGGGCGGCUGUGGGGAUUAAGUGAGACGGUUUCGUAACAAUGAAGCAGCAGGCAAGUACUGGAGGUGGCUGUUCCGUGUUAUCCCUUGAGUCUCACGCUGCCUCAUUUACAGAAGAGGGCUACCCCACCUGGCUUUGCAGAAGCCCUGAGCAUAACAGAGGAACCACAGUGUCUGAACGCAGGAUCUGCAGCCCAGUGCACGCAGCUUCCCAGAGCUGGUGUGCUUCUGGCGCCUCAGCCUGUCUCUGCUUCCUCGGUCACCACAAAACGGUUACACACUGGGGCAGUCAAGCCUGCGAAAAGACUCCCACUCGGAGUGUCAGGAGGCAACCGGGGCUCACAGCAAGUGCUCACAGCAACCUGCUCCAGGGCUGCUCCUCCACGACAGCUCCGGAAUCCAGGAGGCAGCCUGAGGAGGCACCCUAGCCAGGGGACCAGAAGACAGAUUGCAUCGGUCCUUCCCAGCCCUUCCACUUGGGUUGCUCAGAAGCGGUGUGGUUCUGAGGCUGACGUGCCCUUUCUAAUUAUGCUGGCCACUGACAAUGCGACAGUGACAUGUGACACUUUGACAAUGCAUGCAACCUCCCCGAGUCUGUUCCGUAUUUGAAACAUUUAACAGCAUUCACUUAUUAAAAGGAUUUCUGCACUGAUCUACCUUCAUCCUGUAAACACAAGAUUAUCAAGCAGGAAGCGUUCUUGCACCAAUUCAGCCACGGAUGGAUUCAGUGACACUGAGCAAGUCAUCAGUCUUCUAACCCCAUUUCUAGCCCUCUCCUAUUUUUCCUUAUGAGGAAGAAACAUAACAAGGUACAGAGAAGUGUUCCUUAAAGGAUGAGGUGCUGUUAUCAGUGUCUCAUUGUCCUCUUUGGAAGCUCCGUUCUGACAGUUAAGAGCUCUGGAGCCAGACUGGCAGAGUUAAUUCAAGUUAUGGAACCACUCUCACCUCACUUUUCUCAUCUGUAAAGUGGUGAUGAAACAGCCCCUAUUUCUGAAUUACUGAAUUAGAUGGGGAAAUGUAAAGAAAGCACUUAGUCCAGAAACAAUAAAAGGUGCCCAAGG
ensembl:lncRNA